AGUUGAACUCCAGCUAAAAACAUUUAAAAAAAAAUAUAAAAAAUUAUUAAAAGAAAAAUUCAAUUACAACGAUGAAGAAACCGAGGUCGGAGAAAGAUAAGAUAGAUACCUGAUAAAGCAAAGAGUAGAGCUAGCACUAAACGAGCUCAACGAGACGAAAAUUACAAGUGGUCAGUAAGGAGAAAA